GCAGAAUGUUAAUAUAUCAGUAUAAUUAUAGGUAUUUGUUUUUACCAUAUGUCAGUGCUAUCUUCAGCCCUCUACACUUCAAUACAUGUUUUUAGUCAAUCCUCACUACUACCAACUUUAGAAAUGAGGAAGCUGAAAAAUUGAGUUGUUAAAUUGUUUAAGGUACAUAGAAGCAGAAGUGGGAUUCAUGCCCAGCUUGCCUGACUCAAGAGCCCACCUUUGUAAUCAAUGUGCUGUUAGGUGUUAAGGCCUCCACCUGCCUUAAGUCCUGGGAUCUGUAUCCAUGCUGUCACAGACAUUGUUUGUCAGUUCCUAUAACCUUUGCUGCUGUGUCAAGUAACUUCAGGGAUCCCUGUUCUCAUAAAAUGGAAUAUAAACAGCGGUUCCCUCUAGAGUUGUGCACAUAGAAGUGCUAUUUCAACCACCACCUCUGUAUGGCUUCUAACUGUCUCCUCUGAAUAGAAAAGGAGAUGCAGCCCAGAUGUUGUGACGCCUGGCAAGGUGUGAUCAGGUGUGAGUUGUCACAAAGUUGAGGAUGACUAAUGGAACUUCGUUAGAAAUGGGAUGGAACUUGAGAAUAACUUGCUUUCUCUUACCUAUGCCACAGCACCCCUCAAAACACAUGAGUGUGUGCAAGCACAUACAUGUCAUGAGUGAUUUAUUAUGUGUGCACACACACAUGUAUACCUGAGUAAUUAAGCAUGUGUACAAAUGCACACAUGCACACACGCACACACCAUGACUGGUGAGAGUUCUGACAAUUAUGAAUUAUCGAAGCUCUUUAUUUUCUUGGGGAAGAGGUAGGAGGUGAGCCUUACACCCACAUCUGGCAUGCCUCUUGGAUAUGUCUUUUUGGUGAAUUAUCUAUUGUCUAUUGUGUGUGUGGUAGAAGUCGAAGAUCAAUGAUGUUGGAGUAUCCCACUCCAUACCUCCUGUUUCCAAAUAUUUCCACCUUCCAGGAUCCAGCUCAAGGAUCAUCCCCCAGUGAAGUCAUGUCUCACUUAUGUACAUGUUACUCCAAUUAACAGCUCUCGUGCACCAGGCAUGGGAACCUUGUGAUUGAGCGCAUUUGGAUAACCUUCCUAUGUCAAGACUCUUAACCACACCUGCAAAGUCCUUUUGGGACCAUGACUAGGUAACAACAUUCUGUUUCUGGUGAUUAGGAUGUGGACAUUUUAGGGGGUGGUCAUUAUUCAGCCUACCAUAUGAGAUCUGAAAACCAUUUAAGUAGCCAGCAGUUUUAAAUGCCAUUUUAAGAAGUUCAUGCAGCAAUGCAACAAUUCUGAUUCUAAUAUGUAAUACUAACAUGAUGUAGCCACAGGAAACUUUGAAUCCAAGACCAUUUGUUUUUAUCAGUGACAGACUAAUGCCUUAUUCUCUUAUAAAGCACUGUCCAAAAAAUAGUCGUCAUAAGAACUUGAAUUUUGACCUUAUUACUCUAGGAAGACAAGACUGUUUGUGCAAUAUAUCAGUGUAAUGGUUUCCUUCCCUAUACCAGGGUUGAAUUUUAUCAUCUAACUCUUAAAAGGAGUUAGAAUCAAAGGCUCUGUUGCAUAAAAGGCAAAGGAUUCAUUAUUAAAGACCUACAGUAUCACAAGAUGACUAAGUAUAUAUAAUAUUCUUUGAAGGUUUUGAAAAACCCAGGAGUAUGACAAGUCUCAGUUGAAGGGUAAAGUCCAAACACUAAAAAUGUUUGUAUUUCUAUUUACCACCAUUAUGUACAGAGAUUCAGAAGCUGUACAGCUUUUCAC
ensembl:lncRNA